rnacentral:rRNA from 1 species
UAGAGUUUGAUCCUGGCUCAGGACGAACGCUGGCGGCACGCUUAACACAUGCAAGUCGAACGCUCUCGACCUUCGGGUCAUAUGGGAGAGUGGCGAACGGGUGAGUAACACGUGAGAAACCUGCCCUAAAGAUUGGGACAACCACGGGAAACUGUGGCUAAUACCGAAUACCUUCUUUUGACCGCAUGGUCAGCUGAAGAAAUGCUCCGGCGCUUUAGGAGGGUCUCGCGGCCUAUCAGCUAGUUGGUGAGGUAAUGGCUCACCAAGGCAUCGACGGGUAGCUGGUCUGAGAGGACGAUCAGCCACACUGGGACUGAGACACGGCCCAGACUCCUACGGGAGGCAGCAGUGGGGAAUCUUGCGCAAUGGGCGAAAGCCUGACGCAGCGAUGCCGCGUGGGGGAUGAAGGCUCUCGGGUCGUAAACCCCUUUCAGCAGGGACGAAAAUGACGGUACCUGCAGAAGAAGCCCCGGCCAACUACGUGCCAGCAGCCGCGGUAACACGUAGGGGGCAAGCGUUGUCCGGAUUUAUUGGGCGUAAAGAGCUCGUAGGCUGUUCAGUAAGUCAGGUGUGAAAAUCCAAGGCUCAACCUUGGGACGCCACCUGAUACUGCUGUGACUAGAGUCCGGUAGAGGAGAUUGGAAUUCCUGGUGUAGCGGUGAAAUGCGCAGAUAUCAGGAGGAACACCAACGGCGAAGGCAGAUCUCUGGGCCGGUACUGACGCUGAGGAGCGAAAGCAUGGGGAGCGAACAGGAUUAGAUACCC